GACGAACGCUGGCGGCGUGGAUUAGGCAUGCAAGUCGAACGGUAUCAUCCUUUCGGGGGUGAGAGAGUGGCGAACUGGUGAGUAACACGUAGGUUAUCUACCCUCAAGACGGGGACAACCCAGGGAAACUUGGGCUAAUACCGGAUGUGAGCAACUUUUAGUUGUUUGAAAGGUGGCGUAAGCUGUCGCUUGGGGAUGAGCCUGCGUCCUAUUAGUUAGUUGGUGAGGUAACGGCUCACCUAGGCAAUGAUAGGUAGGCGGCCUUAACGGGUGGUCGCCCACACUGGGAUUGAGAUACGGCCCAGACUCCUACGGGAGGCAGCAGUCGAGAAUAGUCUACAAUGGUCGGAAGACUGAUAGUGCGACGCCGCGUGAACGAUGAAUCCCUUCGGGGUGUAAAGUUCUUUUAUAUGUGAGCAGUGCUUCUUAUAUUUAACAGUAUGGGGAGAGAGAUAUUAGCAUAUGAAUAAGCAACGGCUAACUCCGUGCCAGCAGCCCGGGUAAU
rnacentral:rRNA from 1 species